CAAUGUGCUGGGACAUCUGGGCACGGUCAGACCUGGCUCCUGGGUCUCUCCAUGCUGUAGCCACCCUGCACACCCCUUCCUCCAUACACCCUAGCACAGGGAGAGGGCGAUAUGACCUGGGAGGCCCUACACCUGUGGCUGGUCCUGCUGCUGCUGGCCUCAGGCUCCUGGGUGCAGAGCCAGAAGGAUGAGUUGGUGUGGGCCAUACAGGACCAGGUACUCUCUGUGAAAUGCCCAUCCGCCCCCCUGCUAGCCUGCCUGACAGCACUUUCGUGGUGCUGUUGUGUGGACUCCUCGUGACCAAGAUCAUGGCUUUGACAGCCCUCCUCCUGUUUCUGACCUACAGAGCCCAGGU